rnacentral:miRNA from 1 species
CUAAACAUGCAAUGCAGGUAA